rnacentral:rRNA from 1 species
GGUUAAGUUAGAAAGGGCGCACGGUGGAUGCCUUGACACUAGGAGCCGAUGAAGGACGGGACUAACACCGAUAUGCUUCGGGGAGCUGUAAGUAAGCUUUGAUCCGGAGAUUUCCGAAUGGGGAAACCCACCAUCCGUAAUGGGAUGGUAUCUUCACUUGAAUACAUAGAGUGAUGAUGGCACACCCAGGGAACUGAAACAUCUAAGUACCUGGAGGAAGAGAAAGCAAAUGCGAUUUCCCAAGUAGCGGCGAGCGAAACGGAAACAGCCCAAACCAAGAGGCUUGCCUCUUGGGGUUGUAGGACGCUCUAUACGGAGUUACAAAGGAGCGAGGUAAAUGAACAGGCCUGGAAAGGCCGGCCAUAGAAGGUAACAGCCCUGUAGUUGAAACUUCGUUCCCUCCUGAGCGGAUCCUGAGUACGGCGGAACACGUGAAAUUCCGUCGGAAUCCGGGAGGACCAUCUCCCAAGGCUAAAUACUCCCUAGUGAUCGAUAGUGAACCAGUACCGUGAGGGAAAGGUGAAAAGCACCCCGGAAGGGGAGUGAAAGAGAUCCUGAAACCGUGCGCUUACAAGUAGUCAGAGCCCGUUAACGGGUGAUGGCGUGCCUUUUGUAGAAUGAACCGGCGAGUUACGAUCCCGUGCAAGGUUAAGCUGAAGAAGCGGAGCCGCAGCGAAAGCGAGUCUGAA